UCUGCAAGUAGCUGAUAUCAUAAAAUUGUCAGCAUGGAUGUCAGUUUUCAGGAGGCAGGAAGCAAAUGUGGCAGAUAUUCAUUAGCAACGGAUGGGCAUGAAGACCAUCUCAAACAGCUCUGAUGGCCAUGAUGUUUCAUUGCUGCAUUGUACCCCAUAAGCGUAGUGAACGACAAUAGAAAUUGAUACCAUAUUACCCGAUUUCUUGCUGUAAGAUUAAUGGUUUCAGAUUUCUUGACAGAAUAGACAUACCAUAUUCUUGACAGAAUAGACCCGAUUUCCGUUUUUUUUUUUCAAAAUAAGGAACAACGAGCCUUCGAGUAUGAGCUGAAAGGUUGAUGCUGGAGUGUUCA